CAUUGGGCUAGUAUUCCAAAGGUCGUAGGUUCGAAUCCCACCGUGACCGGGCAUAUUUUUCAAGCUCGCCCGGUGUGGAUAUGCACUCAGAGUAACAUCACAAACAUAUUAUUCACCUGAGUACACAACACCAGCAUAGAAAAAAAAAAUCAUAUUACAAGAACACAUUGGUAUUGAAGGAACUAGAUACUGUUCCGAAAUAUCACUUACUCGAACCGUCCUGACCGUGUAGCUCAGUUGGAAGAGCAUUGGGCUAGUAUUCCAAAGGUCGUAGGUUCGAAUCCCACCGUGGCCGGGCAUAUUUUCAAGCUCGCCCGGUGUGGAUAUGCACUCAGAGUAACAUCGCAAACAUAUUAUUCACCUGAGUACACAACACCAACACAGAAAAAAUCAUAUUACUAGAACACAUUGGUAUUGAAGGAACUAGAUACUGUUCCGAAAUAUCACUUACUCGAACCGUCCUGACCACGUAGCUCAGUUGGAAGAGCAUUGGGCUAGUAUUCCAAAGGUCGUAGGUUCGAAUCCCACCGUGGCCGGGCAUAUUUUUCAAGCUCGCCCGGUGUGGAUAUGCACUCAGAGUAACAUCACAAACAUAUUAUUCACCUGAGUACACAACACCAGCACAGAAAAAAAAUCAUAUUACAAGAACACAUUGGUAUUGAAGGAACUAGAUACUGUUCCGAAAUAUCACUUACUCGAACCAUCCUGACCGCGUAGCUCAGUUGGAAGAGCAUUGGGCUAGUAUUCCAAAGGUCGUAGGUUCGAAUCCCACCGUGGCCGGGCAUAUUUUUCAAGCUCGCCCGGUGUGGAUAUGCACUCAGAGUAACAUCACAAACAUAUUAUUCACCUGAGUACACAACACCAGCACAGAAAAAAAAUCAUAUUACAAGAACACAUUGGUAUUGAAGGAACUAGAUACUGUUCCGAAAUAUCACUUACUCGAACCGUCCUGACCGCGUAGCUCAGUUGGAAGAGCAUUGGGCCAGUAUUCCAAAGGUCGUAGGUUCGAAUCCCCACCGUGGC
rnacentral:lncRNA from 1 species